rnacentral:rRNA from 1 species
UUUAAGCUUCCUACGGGAGGCUGCAGUGGGGAAUCUUGCGCAAUGGGCGAAAGCCUGACGCAGCCAUGCCGCGUGAAUGAUGAAGGUCUUAGGAUUGUAAAAUUCUUUCACCGGGGACGAUAAUGACGGUACCCGGAGAAGAAGCCCCGGCUAACUUCGUGCCAGCAGCCGCGGUAAUACGAAGGGGGCUAGCGUUGCUCGGAAUUACUGGGCGUAAAGGGAGCGUAGGCGGACAUUUAAGUCAGGGGUGAAAUCCCGGGGCUCAACCUCGGAAUUGCCUUUGAUACUGGGUGUCUUGAGUAUGAGAGAGGUGUGUGGAACUCCGAGUGUAGAGGUGAAAUUCGUAGAUAUUCGGAAGAACACCAGUGGCGAAGGCGACACACUGGCUCAUUACUGACGCUGAGGCCCCAUUACGUGGGGAGCAAACAGGAUUAGAUACCCUUGUAGUCGAAUUCU